CCAAUAGCGUAUAUUAAAGUUGUUGCAGUUAAAAAGCUCGUAGUUGAAUUUCGGGAUUAAUUUAUCGGUCGUGCAAUCGUACGUACUGGUAUUAUUGAUUCCUACCUUCUGACGAACCAUGAUGUCAUUAAUUUGGUGUCUUGGGGAAUCAGGACUGUUACUUUGAAAAAAUUAGAGUGUUUAAAGCAGGCUCACGCUUGAAUACAUUAGCAUGGAAUAACGAAAUAGGACGUUUGAUUCUAUUUUGUUGGUUUCUAGGAUCGACGUAAUGAUUAAUAGGGAUAGUUGGGGGCAUUAGUAUUCAAUUGUCAGAGGUGAAAUUCUUGGAUUUAUUGAAGACUAACUACUGCGAAAGCAUUUGCCAAGGAUGUUUUCAUUAAUCAAGAACGAAAGUUAGGGGAUCGAAGACGAUCAGAUACCGUCGUAGUCUUAACCAUAAACUAUGCCGACUAGGGAUCGGAUGAUGUUAAUUUUUUAAUGACUCAUUCGGCGCCUUACG
rnacentral:rRNA from 1 species